UACGAAGGGGGCUAGCGUUGCUCGGAAUUACUGGGCGUAAAGGGCGCGUAGGCGGACGGCUUAGUCAGGCGUGAAAGUCCUGGGCUCAACCUGGGGAUUGCGCUUGAGACGGGUUGUCUGGAGUGGGGAAGAGGGUCGUGGAAUUCCCAGUGUAGAGGUGAAAUGCGUAGAUAUGGGGAAGAACACCGGUGGCGAAGGCGGCGACCUGGUCCUGGACUGACGCUGAGGCGCGAAAGCGUGGGGAGCAAACAGG
rnacentral:rRNA from 1 species